UCAUAAACCAGUAACAACUCAUUCUUUUUUUGAUUUCACCUUUAUUUAACCAGGUGGCCAGUUGAGAACAAGUUCUCAUUUACAACUGUGACCUGGCCAAGAUAAAGCAAAGCAGUGCGACACAAACAACACAGAGUUACACAUGGGAUAAACAAACGUACAAUCAAUAACACAAUAGAAAAGUAUAUAUACAGUGUGUGCAAAUGUAGUAAGAUUAGGCAGGUCAGGCAAUAAAUAGGCCAUAGUGGCGAAAUAAUUACAAUGUAGCAAUUAAACACUGGAGUGAUAGAUGUACAGAAAAUGAAUGUGCAAGUAGAUAUACUGGGGUGCAAAGGAGCAAAAGAAAAAAGAACAAUAUGGGGAUGAGGUAGUUGGAUGGGCUAUUUACUGAUGGGCUAUGUACAGGUGCAAUGAUCGGUAAGCUGCUCUGACAGCUGAUGCUUAAAGUUAGUGAGGGAGAUAUAAGUCUCCAGCUUCAGUGAUUUUUGCAAUUCAUUCCAGUCAUUGGCAGCAGAGAACUGGAAGGAAAGGCGGCCAAAGAGGAGUUGGCUUUCGGGGUGACCAGUGAAAUAUACCUGCUGGAGCGCAUGCUACGGGUGGGUGCUGCUAUGGUGCCCAGUGAGCUGAGAUAAGGCGGGCUUUACCUAGCAAAGACUUAUAGAUGACCUGGAGCCAGUGGGUUUGGCGACCAAUAUGAAGCGAGGGCCAGCCUACGAGAGCAUACAGGUCUCAGUGGUGGGUAGUAUAUGGGGCUUUGGUGACAAAACAGAUGGCACUGUGAUAGACUACAUCCAAUUUGCCGAGUAGAGUGUUGGAGGCUAUUUUGUAAAUGACUUCGCCGAAGUCAAGGAUUGGUAGUAUAGUCGGUUUUACGAGGGUGUGUUUGGCAGCAUGAAUGAAGGAUGCCUUGUUGCGAAAUAGGAAGCCAAUUCUAGAUUUAAUUUUGGAUUGGAGAUGCUUAAUGUGAGUCUGGAAGGAGAGUUUACCGUCUAACCAAACACCUAGGUAUUUGUAGUUGUCCACAUAUUCUAAGUCAGAACCGUCCAGAGUAGUGAUGCUAGACGGGCGAGCGGGUGCGGGCAGCGAUCGGUUGAAGAGCAUGCAUUUAGUUUUGCUUGCAUUUAAGAGUAGUUGGAGACCACAAAAGGAGAGUUGUAUGGCAUUGAAGCUCAUCUGGAGGUUUGUUAGCACGGUGUCCAAAGAAGGGCCAGAUGUAUACAGAAUGGUGUUGUCUGCAUAGAGGUGGAUCAGGGAAUCACCAGCAGCAUAAAUAAUAACUCAAUCUGGUAACUACUCUACUCUAUGGGAACUUGACUCGCUCUCAGUAAGAUGAGGAAGGUCAGUAACACUUUCUAUGAGGUAUAUAUGCAAAUAAGGCAUUAUAGUGCAUUAUACAACUUGCAUAAGCUGUCAUAACAACUCAUAAGUAGUUAUAACAUCCUUAUUCAGGAUCUUACUUAGGCCUACUCAAAACAAAAUAACAAUUGUUCAAAGUCUGCAUUGAGAGAGGUAAGAUGUUAUAAUCAUAUAACAUGUCAUGUGUCAUGUAACAGUGUGGAUACUAGGUGUAAUGUAACAGUGUGGAUGCUAGGUGUAAUGUAACAGUGUGGAUGCCAGGUGUAAUGUAACAGUGUGGAUGCCAGGUGUAAUGUAACAGUGUGGACACUAGGUGUAAUGUAACAGUGUGGAUGCUAGGUGUAAUGUAACAGUGUGGACACUAGGUGUAAUGUAACAGUGUGGACGCUAGGUGUAAUGUAACAGUGUGGACGCUAGGUGUAAUGUAACAGUGUGGACACUAGGUGUAAUGUAACAGUGUGGACACUAGGUGUAAUGUAACAGUGUGGACGCUAGGUGUAAUGUAACAGUGUGGACGCUAGGUGUAAUGUAACAGUGUGGACGCUAGGUGUAAUGUAACAGUGUGGACGCUAGGUGUAAUGUAACAGUGUGGACGCUAGGUGUAAUGUAACAGUGUGGACGCUAGGUGUAAUGUAACAGUGUGGACACUAGGUGUAAUGUAACAGUGUGGAUGCUAGGUGUAAUGUAACAGUGUGGACACUAGGUGUAAUGUAACAGUGUGGACACUAGGUGUAAUGUAACAGUGUGGAUGCUAUGUGUAAUGUAACAGUGUGGACACCAGGUGUAAUGUAACAGUGUGGACACUAGGUGUAAUGUAACAGUGUGGACACUAGGUGUAAUGUAACAGUGUGGACGCCAGGUGUAAUGUAACAGUGUGGACACUAGGUGUAAUGUAACAGUGUGGACACUAGGUGUAAUGUAACAGUGUGGACGCCAGGUGUAAUGUAACAGUGUGGACACUAGGUGUAAUGUAACAGUGUGGACACUAGGUGUAAUGUAACAGUGUGGACACUAGGUGUAAUGUAACAGUGUGGACACUAGGUGUAAUGUAACAGUGUGGACACUAGGUGUAAUGUAACAGUGUGGACACUAGGUGUAAUGUAACAGUGUGGACACUAGGUGUAAUGUAACAGUGUGGAUGCUAUGUGUAAUGUAACAGUGUGGACGCCAGGUGUUAUGUAACAGUGUGGACACUAGGUGUAAUGUAACAGUGUGGACACUAGGUGUAAUGUAACAGUGUGGACACUAGGUGUAAUGUAACAGUGUGGAUGCUAUGUGUAAUGUAACAGUGUGGAUGCUAGAUGUAAUGUAACAGUGUGGAAGCUUGGUGUAGCAAAUGUCUCCCAUUUGGAAAUAACUCUGGACCAUGCCAAUGUUCUGCCAACCAUGUCUUGUCAAUAUCUCCUAGUUGUCUUCAUCACUUUAGGGGACCUCUAUCUAACCACAGAGUUAAUCGCCCAGGGGUUCAUUCUU